GACUUGUGCUCUUCCGAUUUUUCCCUCAAGGACCCUUACUUCUUUAGGCAUUUCUGGCUUGGUCUGUGGCCUUCAUUAAUAAGGCUAACUUUGUCACUGGUCCCCAGAAGAAACCUUUAACCACUGAGUUUACUCAUUGGAGAUAGUUUUGAAUAAUCCCCCUAAUUUUUGGAGUUUGGGAGGAAAGGGCAUAGGUUUGAGACGUUCCUUUGUAUGGUGGGGCUCAGGAGAAAGCCCUUGGGCAGGUAUGAGGUUUCACUUAGU